ensembl:lncRNA
AAGCUUUAACACUUUGAUUCAGCCAAUCAGCAUCUGUCUGUGCCUCUCUCUCUCCCCCUCUCCUCUCUAACGUGUUACCAAGACAUUUUUCCUGUUACAAACCACAGCUGCUGCUUCACCUCCAUGUUGGGCGGAGGUGUUGGGCCGUCCGUGUCACAUCGGGCUGAGGGACGAUGGGCCGAGGACGUCUCCUGUGGAUCCUCUGUGUGACCCGGCUGCUCGGCUCCACCACAAACCCAGGUCAGUGAACCUCUUCGACAUGAAGGUUCUGUCUGACAGAAGACAACCUGAUCUUUGUCCUCUCUGUCCUCACAGCUGGUCUGAAGGUGAGUCCCAGCAGCUCUCAGCUGUUUGAAGGAGACUCUGUGUCUCUGAGCUGUGAGGAGGACGACAGCUCUGCUGGAUGGACUCUGAGGAGAAACACCACCAGAGACUCCAGGACUCCGUGUGAAGACUGGGGAGAAGCAGCUGGUUCUUCCUGUGAGAUGCGCUACCUCCUCCCCUGGGACAGUGGAGUGUACUGGUGGAGUCCAGACAGGGACAGACCAGCAGCAACCUGACUGUCUCUGGUAAGAUGAGCCUGUGGACUCAGUGCUGAUGAAGCUGUGUGUGUCUGCAUGAAAUGCUGUAGUGUGUCUCUGUGUGGAGGUGGAGCAGUGAUCCUGCAGAGUCCUGUCCUCCCUGUGAUGGAGGGAGACCCCGUCACUCUGACCUGUACAACAAGGCCCCCUGCCUCCACCCUCCCAGCUGCUUUCUAUAAAGAUGGCUCCCUCCUCAGCACUCAGCCUGCAGGUCACAUGACCAUCCUCCAUGUUUCCAGCUCUGAUGAAGGCCUCUACAGCUGUGACAUCAGCGGUCAUGGAGAGUCUCCACCCAGCUGGAUCUCUGUCACAGGUGAGGAGCUCCACCUUGAUGUCUGCACUUAUUUCAUCCACAUGUUCAGCUGAAGACAAAAACAGCUCAACGACCGUUCAAAUCCUUUUUAUGAUUUAUUUCAGCUUCACCCACUCCUCCUCCUCCUCCUCCUCCUUCAUCAGCAUCCCCAGGUCCUCCUCCUCGUCCCCUCCUCUGUCUGUGCUGCUGUCUGUCCCCUCCAUGUCUGCUGUGGUGCUGCUGGUUGUCCUGGUUGUGCUGCUGAGACGAUGUGUCUGCAGGAAGCCUGACGGACUCGCAGUGUCGACUGAAGCAGAGGACGGUCCGGUUUCCUCAGCAGAACCAGACCAGACAGGAGACAGUGACCCAGCAGCACUUUACUCCAUCAGAAGACGAACAGACGUCAUUUAUGGAGAAAUCAGCAUCAGGAGCAACACGAGGAGAGAGCUUCCAGCAGAUCCAGCAGUUGUGUACUCCACCCUGAAGCCCGCUCCUUCACAGCUGUGUGAGUCCUCCGAGGAGC